rnacentral:rRNA from 1 species
UAUGGCCAUACCACCCUGAACGUACCCAAUCUCGUCUGAUCUCAGAAGCUAAGCAGGUUUGGGCCUGGUUCGUACUUGGAUGGGAGACCAUUUGUUUGUGUCUUGUUAGCCAUCU